GACGAACGCUGGCGGCGUGCCUAAUACAUGCAAGUCGAACGCUUCUUUCCUCCCGAGUGCUUGCACUCAAUUGGAAAGAGGAGUGGCGGACGGGUGAGUAACACGUGGGUAACCUACCCAUCAGAGGGGGAUAACACUUGGAAACAGGUGCUAAUACCGCAUAACAGUUUAUGCCGCAUGGCAUAAGAGUGAAAGGCGCUUUCGGGUGUCGCUGAUGGAUGGACCCGCGGUGCAUUAGCUAGUUGGUGAGGUAACGGCUCACCAAGGCCACGAUGCAUAGCCGACCUGAGAGGGUGAUCGGCCACACUGGGACUGAGACACGGCCCAGACUUCUACGGGAGGCAGCAGUAGGGAAUCUUCGGCAAUGGACGAAAGUCUGACCGAGCAACGCCGCGUGAGUGAAGAAGGUCUUCGGAUCGUAAAACUCUGUUGUUAGAGAAGAACAGGGACGUUAGUAACUGAACGUCCCCUGACGGUAUCUAACCAGAAAGCCACGGCUAACUACGUGCCAGCCGCCGCGGUAA
rnacentral:rRNA from 1 species